rnacentral:rRNA from 106 species
GAACCUGCGGAGGGAUCAUUA